rnacentral:siRNA from 1 species
GUCGCUGCCGUGAUCGUGG